GAACGCUGGCGGCUGCCUAAUACAUGCAAGUAGAACGCUGAAGAGAGGAGCUUGCUCUUCUUGGAUGAGUUGCGAACGGGUGAGUAACGCGUAGGUAACCUGCCUUGUAGCGGGGGAUAACUAUUGGAAACGAUAGCUAAUACCGCAUAACAAUGGGUGACACAUGUCAUUUAUUUGAAAGGGGCAAUUGCUCCACUACAAGAUGGACCUGCGUUGUAUUAGCUAGUAGGUGAGGUAACGGCUCACCUAGGCGACGAUACAUAGCCGACCUGAGAGGGUGAUCGGCCACACUGGGACUGAGACACGGCCCAGACUCCUACGGGAGGCAGCAGUAGGGAAUCUUCGGCAAUGGGGGCAACCCUGACCGAGCAACGCCGCGUGAGUGAAGAAGGUUUUCGGAUCGUAAAGCUCUGUUGUAAGUCAAGAACGAGUGUGAGAGUGGAAAGUUCACACUGUGACGGCAGCUUACCAGAAAGGGACGGCUAACUACGUGCCAGCAGCCGCGGUAAUACGUAGGUCCCGAGCGUUGUCCGGAUUUAUUGGGCGUAAAGCGAGCGCAGGCGGUUUGAUAAGUCUGAAGUUAAAGGCUGUGGCUCAACCAUAGUUCGCUUUGGAAACUGUCAAACUUGAGUGCAGAAGGGGAGAGUGGAAUUCCAUGUGUAGCGGUGAAAUGCGUAGAUAUAUGGAGGAACACCGGUGGCGAAAGCGGCUCUCUGGUCUGUAACUGACGCUGAGGCUCGAAAGCGUGGGGAGCGAACAGGAUUAGAUACCCUGGUAGUCCACGCCGUAAACGAUGAGUGCUAGGUGUUGGAUCCUUUCCGGGAUUCAGUGCCGCAGCUAACGCAUUAAGCACUCCGCCU
rnacentral:rRNA from 1 species